AUGUGUGGAGGAGGCAGCAAGGAGACGUCUGUGUCGCCCGCCCGCACGGGUGGCGCCACCAGCCUGCCCACAAGCCAUCUGCCUCUUUCCUCUCCCGGGCUCCUGCUCCAUAACCUUUCAUGGUUCCUCCCACUGUCUGGCCUCACUGUGAGCCCUCGAGGAUACCUUCCAACAACACUGUGCUCCACUUCCCGCCGCCUCCCUGUUGACCCCUGGACCCCACAAUUUAUAAGGGAGAAGGGCCCCUUUGUCCUCCUCAUCUCCCAGACAGGGUGGGAUUUGGCAAAGCAGAGAAGGGAGCCCGGGACCUGCCUGGUGGUGCUGAUUCCUGGCUCGUGUCCCUUCUCUGCACACAUCAUGGAGGAGCCCCUGCGGUAUUGGGGCCUGGCAGUCUCUGCACAUCUCCACUGUGUGACCCAGGGAGCCUCCCCCAGGACACUUAGCCUGCUCCGUGAACGCCCUCCUCCCAGGACCACUCUGGGGCCUCCAGAUCUCGUGGGAGGCCGCACAUGGUGCCCCUGGCUGCCCCUUGGGGACCUCUACUACUGGCAAGAAAAGAGAAACUGGUAAUCGGUGCUCCCAAUGUGCAUGGCAAUGCCACUGGCUGGCCAGGACCUGCUCCCGGCGUUUGAAAGGUCCCCUGAGCUCAUCUGCUUGUUCAUUUGCACUGUCUAUGGAGAAAGCAAAUGUCAACUUGUGCUGCCCAGACCGCUGCUUGCACUCCCCUCAUUAGUGGUGUCUGAAAUCAUAGAGUUUCUCUGUGUUCUCGUUAUGUGCAAAUGACCUCCCAAAAGCACUUCCGAGGGGCAUGUAGACCCAAGACGGCCCCUUCUAGAGGGGCUUUGGUUCUUGGGACGAGGGUGCCUCUGCCUUGGGGAGGGACUUCCAAUGGAUCGAAACUGGAGGGAGGGACCCAGCGGGGGGUGCCUAGGAUCCCGAGUUUGGGAGACCCUUGUGGGCACACCUGCCUUGAAGGGCCGGGACCUAGGGGUUCCCACGCAGCUGUGAGGGGAGACAGAGGUGGCAGGUGCAGGCUGAUUCCCACCCCGGGGAAGCUCAUUGUGGAGGCACACGUAGCUCACCGUAGCCCCUGCUGCUCAGCUACGCUGGAUAUGCCCAGUCUGCGCAGGGCACUUCUCGCUCUCCACUUAAAAGGAUGCGUUUGGCAAACCUCAGGAUGUCGUUAAAAUUUCAUGGGCUCCCCCUAAGCGGAGGACCAUCGGCCGUAACCUCGAUCGAGUCAGAUCUGUGCCUGGUCCAGGUGUGUCUCCUGUUGGCGAGCACAUCUCUCCUCGAUGUCACAGAAAUGAGACACCAUCCCGGAGCUGGCAGGACAGGUUGGCCGGGCCCUGACUUGCUGGCGGGGACACUGUCAGAAUGAAUUCAUUUCCAAAUAAAGCAUUGUUAACACUGCUAUUAAAUGCCUGAUGACUCUUUUUUCCUUCUCCAAACUAUAUUUCAGGGCCAGGCGUAUGCCAGCCAUGAUGAAUAUUUCAUUGUAAAGUGAGCUCUCGCCGCUCCUGCAGCAGUGUGCACAUCAUGAGGCGUGGGGAGGCCACGCCAGCUGGUCCUGCUCCCGCUGCCCUGAGUGGGGGGCCACCGGCCCACAGCCCGCAUGAUCUAGAUGCGGAGGCCCCCACCAGCCCCCUGACUCUGUGGCCGCCAGCCUGCACCGGCCACCUGAAGGGCUCACUGUCAUAGGUGCCUGGGCUCUGCUUGCCACCGGGGGUGCCAUCCACCAAUCCUAGGGCCGGUCCCAGCCUCCCCAUCCUGGAGUGCAGAGCCCCCUCUUCAAGAAGCACUCCCAGACCCUCCCGACCCUCCCACAGCUCAGUCCCUCUGAGCCCCAAGUGAGCAGUGGAAUUGAACACACGUGAGUGCCUGAAGUCUGUGGAUGCGUUGAUUCAUAAAUAAGCGUGUGGGCUCAUUACGAAGGUGCUUGGCGCAUAGCAGACGUUCAUUAAACACUUGAAAAAUGCACCCAUGGCCGAUGAAUGAAUGCACGAAUAUGAAUUAGUUAAUUAAAAGGCAUGGAUGAGCAACUGGAUGUCUGUUUGUCCUCUGCAGGCAGUGGUCACCAGUAAACAGUGUUAUGGGCUGGGAUGAAUGCCAGCUGACCAGGCCCGUGACCCCCGCCACUGCCGAGCCGCCCCUGCUCCAGCUGGUGGACCCACUCCUGGA
rnacentral:lncRNA from 1 species